GAAUUGUUUACUUUAAAAUGGCUAAUUUCACAAAGACUUGCAGCAGGUGAACUGACGUAAUACAAUUUCCUCCCAGUGCUCUGAAUGUCAACAUGAAGAAAUUCAAUGAAGGGUGGGUAAACAUGUGGGAGUAACUUUGACUCUCUUAAGUUAGCUAAAUGCCAUCUAAUUAGUGAUGCACUUGAAUGGAUGAAUGAGAUUC
rnacentral:ncRNA from 1 species